AUCAGUAUCCAAAUAGCAACAGGAAAUUUUUACCUUGUGGCUAAAUAGCUCACUGUUCACUUUGCAGCUGCCUCUAUUUUUUGCUGGGCAAAACACCAAUAACAAAAGUCUUUCCUAAGAAAAACCAAGCUUUUGACACAUAAGGGCAGCGACAAAACGCAAAAAAAAAAAAACCUUACAAAGAAUAUUUUUUUUUUCUUUCCCCCCCCCCGUCCCGUCGUUAUAAUUCCUAAUUUUGUGGGAUGUAUUGCUGGGCUGUUUAUCAUAACAGUGUGCAAUAAAAAGGACGACUAACUCUUGCAAUUUUCUCCCUACUCCUCCCCUUGACAGGGGCCACUGAUAGGGAAAGAGGCUCGGAAAAGCAGAGCAGUGAAAGGCUAAGAAACAAUAGGCAACCAUGGCUUUGACAAUGCAGCCCUGAACCCUUUUUGCUCCCGCUGUGACACUUGCAUUCAAGAGCAAGGGCGGCUGCCAUCAUAAGAAUGGACAAUGGCAUGAGGAAUACAAGGGAGAGGGGGGGAGAUAUAUAUAAAAAAAAAAAAAAAAAAAAAAAAAAGGAAAUCAGAUGAAUUCAGAGCUAAGAUGGCAGAGCUCUCACCUUUUCCGCUUUUUUUCGAGUAAUCUGGAUGGAGACGUCCCGCAGAGAAGAGAUAAAAAGGGUGUGCUGAACUGUUGGAUGGCUCUGAAGACUUCUGCAUUUGCAAACGCAUUUUAGAACUAUUUGUAGGGGUAUAUAUGCUGCAUGCCAUCUCUCUGUCUCUGUCUCUCUCUCUCCCUCUGUGUCUCUCUCUCUUCUGUUUUAUGUCCUGCUAUCUCCAUCACACACCUCUAAUAGUAUGAAGACUUUCUGCCCAUGUAAGUAAGUGAGAGUGUGUGUGUUCCUUAAUGUUUGACUCAAGACACACGUCUGCAUGCAUUUCUAAUCUAAGGAGCCUAUAGCAGUUACUACAACUAUCAAUUAGUCAGCAAUAGCUCGAGAUCCCCAUGUGUCUGGGUGAACAAAGGUGAGAAACACAUGCAAAUAGUACUCCAGCACCUGGGUCACGUACAGGAACUUAGCCAGCACCAAAUAAUUGCAUCUGUUUCUGCCUUUUCCGUGCUUCUCGCCCGUCAGGAUGGAAAGUUGCAGGUUAUUAAUGGGAAGAGUAACACAAUUAGCCAUGGCAUUGUAUAUCCUCGUCCCCCCAACGACACAAUAAAAGGAAAUUAAAAGCCAAACUAGAGGGGAAAUAAAGGGUGGCUUAAAGGCUUUAAAAACGACAAGAUUCUCUGCUCUUGUGGCAGUUGCUUCCAUUUUUCCUCAGCGAUUGUUCCUGAGUUAAAGAUGCAAAUGAUGUAAGAUGUAUUUGGUCAUUUCAUAUAUAUUAGAUAAGAAGCUGAUUAUUCCAGAGGAGACAGAGUGGAUGCCUAAUUUCCUGAAGUUAAGUCCAUAAAGAGGGACCAGUCUAGUGGCUGGAAGGUGAAAGGAAAGCUGCAGUUUCACACCGGUUUUGCCCCCUCGAGGAGCCCUGGGUGUGAGCGUCCCAGAGCUGGGUGUACAGCCAAAAAUAAAGCAAAUAACGGGCUCCAAAAAGCUCGAGGAGGCGGGGGGGAGGAAAGGGGGUUGUGCUGACCCACGCCAGGCAGUUUCAUUUCCAAACUUAGCUGCUUGGGAAUUGCGGGAGCACAAGGAGGGUUUCCAGAGCGAGGAGAGCGGGUGGCAUCGGCGCCAGGGCAGGAAAAACCCCUCGCGAAAAAAAAAAAAAACACCAAAAUAAUUCUCGCCCCUUCGCCGAACAAUGAGACCUUAAAAAAUCCACGUUGGGGAGGGUAUUACACGCAGAGAGGCAGGGGGGAGGGGGCGGGGGAUGAGAACAACAUUUCCCAGCGACGCCGUUUAUUUCUUAGGCUCUGGAAAGGUGGUUUUUCCCCCCCUUUUUAAUGGGAAUUACUCAUCUCGUUCACGGGGCCGGUGUCAUCGCCUGCAAGUGCACAGCUCAGGUGGAAAAGGGGUUUAGGGGUUCAAUCAGAGAGUAACCACUCCACGCUUAUCUAAGGUUGAAAAGUAGUUAAAUAAUAUUAAAAGUGCUCGUUCCUGUAGUUCUCAGCCUGCUAUAACACACUUGGGCGCCCAGAGCCGUGGGGGCUGAGGGAGGAAGGUGGUUAAAGCAGAGAAAUGCGUAUUUAUACCACUAUUUAAUGCCCUGUUCUUCUCACUCUUAGUCUGCACCAUCCCUCCUUCAAACGCUCCCGAUUCAGAUAAAAUAAGUCAGCUUUCUUUCAAGAAAAAAAAAAAAGAAAGAAAGAAGCCCCACGCAGAUGAAUAGACACCACUAAUCAGAUGGAAUGUAAUCGAAUCCUCUUCUUCAUCUAAUCUGCCUGCUCUGUGUAAUCUAGCUAUUCUCCCAGCUCCAGCAUUUGUAAGAGGCAUGACAUUGAUUCCCAUCUCGGAUAAUGUUAUUUCAGUAUUUUAGUCCUAAAUGAGGCUACAAGUUGGGUGGCUACUUGGCAUUCAAAAACUCGUCCUCGACUUUGCAAAGGCCACGGGGCUGAGCCCCUCUGCUGCUUUUUAAGGGUUGUGUCUCCCAUCACCAGCAGGCAAUUUCUCGGAGUUUCUGGAAAAGAAAUUUUACGACCCGCAAAAAGAACAAGAAUUUAACCACGGGACUGGCCCAGGAUGGACAGCAAAAAAAUAAACCCCACCAAGGCAUUUGACAAGAUCUGCCUGCAGACAGCAGCUGGGAGAAGCUGAAACCCUGCACACAACACUGAGAUGGGUUUUUUUGGGGGUUUUUUUGGUAAUGUUUUCUAAAACGCAGAACGAUUUCCUUAAAUAAGCAUUUCGGCAAUGUCCAGCCAGGUUUUCCCCAAAAAGAAAAAAAAGCAAACCUGGUCUCAUUUUGCAGGAUGAGCAGGAUUCCCAGCUAAUUGUUCUGUUGGGGAAAUGACAGCAGUGGGGAGAACAAACAAACCCUCUCAGACAAACAAAUAUAUUUGAACGUAAUAAAAAUGUUGACAACCGU